GCAUUAUCUGACAUAAUUUAUCUCUCGUACUUAUUCUUUCAUCCAGGCAAAGGAAGCUGUCGGAACAGAUUUAAUUCCCGUUCAUUAGAUUCGUCGCCUUACUGAAUACGAUAUUCUCGAGUUCGCGGUUCAAGGGAAAGCAAAGAAUUCUGGUGGGGUCGAGAGCAACGUUCAAGAUGAAAUCCUCGGCCCUUGUUAAAUCGUCUCGGUCGGGGUCGAACAAUGCGUUCGCCAGCAUCCUCGUUUCUCGGUGAUUGCACAUAAAGCUGCCAUUAUUAGAACUUCAGUGAGCGGGAAAUCGAAUAAAUUUGAAGUUGAAGAAAGUAAGAGAAAGUCGAAACGAAGCAAACGCGAUUCCUUAAGCCACGAUGUUCAGGGAUUUUAUAAUCUUUCCGGUGACGUCUUCGACGUGGAAUACCCAGAAGCUGAGAAAUUGAUUCUGUACGAUGAAAAAGACGAUGUCUCCACAGAAUACAACGAUA